GAUGAACGCUGGCGGCGUGCCUAAUACAUGCAAGUCGAGCGAACGGACGAGAAGCUUGCUUCUCUGAUGUUAGCGGCGGACGGGUGAGUAACACGUGGAUAACCUACCUAUAAGACUGGGAUAACUUCGGGAAACCGGAGCUAAUACCGGAUAAUAUUUUGAACCGCAUGGUUCAAAAGUGAAAGACGGUCUUGCUGUCACUUAUAGAUGGAUCCGCGCUGCAUUAGCUUGUUGGUAAGGUAACGGCUUACCAAGGCAACGAUGCAUAGCCGACCUGAGAGGGUGAUCGGCCACACUGGAACUGAGACACGGUCCAGACUCCUACGGGAGGCAGCAGUAGGGAAUCUUCCGCAAUGGGCGAAAGCCUGACGGAGCAACGCCGCGUGAGUGGUGAAGGUCUUCGGAUCGUAAAACUCUGUUAUUAGGGAAGAACAUAUGUGUAAGUAACUGUGCACAUCUUGACGGUACCUAAUCAGAAAGCCACGGCUAACUACGUG
rnacentral:rRNA from 1 species